rnacentral:rRNA from 1 species
UACGUAGGGGGCUAGCGUUGUCCGGAUUUAUUGGGCGUAAAGAGCGUGUAGGCGGCCAUGUAGGUCCGGUGUGAAAACUCGAGGCUUAACCUCGAGAUGUCAUCGGAAACCAUUUGGCUAGAGUCCGGAAGAGGAGAGUGGAAUUCCUGGUGUAGCGGUGAAAUGCGCAGAUAUCAGGAGGAACACCAAUGGCGAAGGCAGCACUCUGGGACGGUACUGACGCUGAGGAGCGAAAGCGUGGGGAGCGAACAGG